rnacentral:lncRNA from 1 species
CAAGAGCAAGGAUGUUGCGAGGAGGGACGAGCUUGCUGGGGAUCGUCAACUUCGUGACGUUCCUGAUCUCGAUCCCGAUCCUGGGGGGAGGAAUCUGGCUGGCGUCGAGGGCCAACUCCACCGACUGCAUCCGCUUCCUGCAGUGGCCGAUCAUCGCCAUCGGGCUCGCCGUCAUGGUGGUGUCCCUCAUGGGGUUCGCGGGGGCGUGCUACCGCCAGACGUGGCUGCUCCGCCUCUACCUCUUCGCCAUGUUCUUCAUCGUCGUCGCCCUCCUCUUCUUCAUCGUCUUCGCCUUCGCCGUCACCGACCGCGGCGACGGCCAGGUGGUGAUGAACCGGCGGUUCCUCGAGUACCAGCUCUCCGACUACAACGGAUGGCUCCGCGACCGCGUCGCCGACCCCGCCUACUGGGCCACCAUCAGCGCCUGCCUCCGCG